UUCAAAGCAGAUAUUUGGAUAUCAAUUAUAUUAUCCCAUUGAGAAAAAAAUAUUUGUCUCACGACAUAUCAUCUCUUAGAGAAAAGGUUUAUUCAAGGAGAGGAUAGUGGGAACAAAGCUGCAGGGAAUUUUGUCGCGCCCACCGAUAUACCGUCGAACAAUAAGGUCAUCAUUCCACCGUCUCGAUCGGCAAAUCACCAAAUACCUCUUUUAUCUUGCAUAACCAAAAAGAAGGUGACAUAUUUCUUAUUUCUCUGCCAUUUAAUUUUUUACACUUGACGUCUGGCCAAUGGUCUUGUACGGCUUCGGUUGUCUGGCCAUUUUUUCUGUUCGAGAGUUUUGUUAUCAAUUUCAACAUUUGAAAAUUGUGUGGGUUGGUCGUCAAUAGUGAAGGGAUAUGUAGUUUUCCAAUUUCAAAAUAGUGUGGGUUGUUAUCAAUUUCAAAAUUUGAAAAUUCAAGAGUUUUGUUACUCUUCUGGAUUUCUAAAGUGAUGAAAACAAGAUUGCAUUACACAAUCGCCUUUAGCUACAGUUUGCAUCUUUUUCUUGCUUAGUUGCCAGGAGCAAUAGUGAAGGGAAAUGUAGUUUUCCAAUCUGCCCACCAGAUGUUUGAUGAAAUGCCCGAGUAGAAAAUUUCCUGUAACUUCAAAUGCUGAAUUCAACUAAAACAUAUGAGAUAUCCACAAAAAGGCAGAUCAAGUAUGAGUGUGGUCAUGCUUCUUAAUGUCUUAAUUGGGUUAAUAUUCUUAGCCAACGUUUUGAAUUUAAACUAGUCGCACUGCAGUUUUGGUUUCAAGCAUUUGUUCAAUUGGAAUCCUUCCACUGAAAUUAAGAUGGAAUUUCGUUUACAUGGUCAAACCUUUUAGGUCUUCUUAUAGCAAUGAAAAUGCUACUUGAUUCUGACUGCAAUGAAAAUGUCUUAACUGGGUUAAUAUUCUUAUUACAAAUUUAAAUUUCUGGCACGUUGAUGUGAUUCUUUCACGUUGUUCAACUAGAUUAGUUCGAUGGCAAGCAAAAAUAUGGAAAUUUGUCAUUGUUGUAGACAGGCAAGACAUAUAUUGCCGAAAUGCACAAAAANAUCUUGAGCUACAUCAGAUGGAUGUUAAGACAGCGUUUCUCAAUGGUGACAUUGAUGAAACAAUUUAUAUGGUACAACCAGAAAACUUUGUAUCGGACGAUGCAAAGCAAAUGGUUUGUAAAUUAAAGAAAUCCAUCUAUGGACUCAAAC
rnacentral:lncRNA from 1 species